AUACGGAGGGUGCAAGCGUUAAUCGGAAUUACUGGGCGUAAAGCGCGCGUAGGCGGCUUGAUAAGUCGGAUGUGAAAUCCCCGGGCUUAACCUGGGAAUUGCAUUCGAUACUGUCAGGCUAGAGUGUGGUAGAGGGAAGUGGAAUUUCCGGUGUAGCGGUGAAAUGCGUAGAUAUCGGAAAGAACAUCAGUGGCGAAGGCGGCUUCCUGGAUCAACACUGACGCUGAGGUGCGAAAGCGUGGGGAGCAAACAGGAUUAGAAACCCUUGUAGUCC
rnacentral:rRNA from 1 species